rnacentral:lncRNA from 1 species
ACACAGAGACAGAGGCUGACAAGGGAUGGGGCCGCGUUCCUAGAACACCUGAGGACAGUGGAGCGCCCUGAAGGGAAGGAAAGGGAUCUGGAGCCCCAUUUAUUUCCUUCAUGAAUGUCCAGAGGAGAUCCUUGAAAUGAAGACUGCCACUGGGUGAGCCUAAUCAACUGGUUAAAAUAGCAAGAUAGAAUAAAAACAGAAACUCUUUGAGAGAUUGACAACUAAAAAAUGAUAAGGAAGAGACACCAUAGAUCUCUCUUUCUGCAUGCAUGCACAGAAGAAAGUCCAUAUUAGGACACAGUGAAAAGAUGGCCAUCUACAAGCCAGGAAGAGAGGCCUUAUCAGACACCAACGCUGACAGCACCUGGAUCUUGUACUUCUAGCCUCCAGAACUGAAAUUGUCCUUUUCACCUAAAUUUUUGAAUAUCUUGGCAUGAGAGCCCAAGUAGAGUGCAGAAUCACCUGGGUUCAGACGAUUCUCGUGCCUCAGCCUCCGGAGCAGCUGGGAUUACAGGUAAUUUACAUCGACUGCAUCUGUAUGGUGAAAAUAUAGUAUAAUGGGGUGCUGCUGUGAAUCUCCUUCCAAUUCUGCAUUCUGUGAUAUCAUAGUGGUAACCUGAAAUCCACCAUAGUGGGGACAUUUACACAAUAACUGGCAAAUGCUACAAGGCUGGGCUUUUUCAGUUUUGUUGAUUGUCUGGACAUAAAAAGGUAAUACAGAAAAUGUUACCAAUACAAGCAUUUGGGAAAAAUAAACUAAAACCUUUUGUGAAAAACAACAGGUUUUAUGGAAUUUACAAUAAAUAAUACUGUAUAUUUUAUUAUUUAUAAAUUCUGUGCUACACAUUCUUCAUAUCAGUAAAACUUAGAACAUAUAUAUGUAUCCAUACAUUUUGUUUUCUAGAAAGCCACUGGUUGAACAUUAACCAGCACACUACUGGAGUCUCUACCCACAAAGGUAGUAUAGGUGGGCAAGGAGUCAAUUCUCUGUGAGACUCCUGGGGGAGUCACUGACUUAGUACAUCAAGAGUAGUGCUGUGAUUUUAAAAUAUGUCCACAAAUUCUUUGAUACAUCUCCUAUCUAAAGACAGGCCCUGAUUUUCCUCCCCAUGAAUGUGAGCUGUACCUAACGACUAAUGAAUGUGGUGGAAGUAACCGUGUUAGACUUCUAAGGCUAAUUCAUAAAAGACAGUGUGGGCUCUGUCUUACCCUCUUUUGGACUGCUUACUUUGGGGAAAGCCAGUGGCCAUGCCAUGAGGACACUCGAACAUCUAUGAAGAGGUCCCACAUGGUGUGGAUAAGGACUCCUGCAACGGCCAUUUUGGACCUAGAUUCUCCUGCCCCAGACAGGGCUUCAAAUGACUGGGGUCCCAGCAGACAUCUUGACUGCAACUUCACAGGAGACUCUGGAGCCAGAACCUCUCAGCUAAGCAGCUCCUGCAAUCAUAACACACAGAAACUGUGAUGUAAUGAACGUUUGUUGCUUUAAGUAAGCCCCUAAGGUUUGGAGUAAUUCAUUAGAUGGCAACAGAUAACUAAUAUAAGCAGGGAAGACUCAUUAUCCCCAUUAAACUUCUUGGACUUUUGGGAGUCAAUGAAAUCUAAGACUCUCUCAUAUGGUGCUAUACCAACUUUGUUGAAGGGAGGGUGUCUUCCCAGAGAUCUGUGAAAACCAAACUAUUCAGGAUUAAGAAGUUCAGAAGCCACCAAUACCACUGUU